rnacentral:rRNA from 1 species
AGCAGCCGCGGUAAUUCCAGCUCCAAUAGCGUAUAUUAAAGUUGUUGCAGUUAAAAAGCUCGUAGUUGAAUUUCGGGAUCAAUGGGUUGGUCAUGCCCUCGGUAUGUACUGAUUUCAUUGGUUCUCACCUUCUAAGGAACCAUGAUGUCAUUUAUUUGAUGUUGUGGGAAAUUAGGACUGUUACCUUGAAAAAUUAGAGUGUUUAAAGCAGGCUAACGCUUGAAUACAUUAGCAUGGAAUAAUGAAAUAGGACAUCCGAUUCUAUUUUGUUGGUUUCUAGGAUCGAUGUAAUGAUUAAUAGGGAUAGUUGGGGGCAUUAGUAUUCAAUUGUCAGAGGUGAAAUUCUUGGAUUUAUUGAAGACUAACUACUGCGAAAGCAUUUGCCAAGGAUGUUUUCAUUAAUCAAGAACGAAAGUUAGGGGAUCGAAGACGAUCAGAUACCGUCGUAGU